rnacentral:misc_RNA from 1 species
GUAAACACCCCAACUGAAGAACUUGACAUAAAUCAUUGUCUCCACAUUCUCUAUUUCUAACACUUUCUGAGAGAAGAGUAACAUAUAUAGGAAUAGAUAUAAGGGAAAGUAGAUUGAAUUUUACAUGAAAUUUUACGUGGGAAGGAGACAAAGGGAGUGGGGGGGGUUGGCCACAAGAACACAACACCAGACAUCCCACAUGCUGAUUCUGACUCAUGUCUCUCCUCAUUUCAUUAUCUUUUCAUCAACUCUCUUAGUUUAGACUAUGGCAAUUAUCCUUUCAUUUUGGCUCUUUCUUCUACAACCCCCU